CCUUAACCCACAGUUUUGCAUUGUGUAAUGCCUUGAUUACUGCUAGACUCAGGCUAGGAAGAUUAGUUCUCCUUCACUAGCAAUAUGUCUGUCAUCUUGUUUGUAUAGGGGAUGUGACCUAGUAGCCUGCAAAACCCAGACCUUCAGCUUUACCUCCACAAGCUAACCUGUAGUUCAUCCUUGCAUUCUGUCACUGAUGGGACUAAAAGCAUUGCUGUUGAUGGCUGACACCAGAAUGUUUUGCGUUCCACUUGCCUUGAGGAUGGGGGAACCCUGUCGGAGAGCAUGCAUGGGCCAAAGCUCCACUUGCCCGUGCUUGCUCAGAACACCACCUUCUGUUCUCCACAAAAAGCACUUUCUCCGCCACAUCCUUCAUGGUAUUAUUACCAGGUGCCAAAGUUGCCAGGAGAAGGAUCACGUUAAGUAGAGAAAAUUAUGAUCUAAGAGUAAAUUGAAAACUCGGGAGGUGCUCUUCUCAAGCUAAGCCCAGGGCUAUGCUGUUGGAUGGGAUACUAGCUAAUGGAAGUGCAAAAGUCACUUAUGAAGACAAAUCCUCCUGAGAGAAACACAAGGUAAUUGAGAAAGUUGCCAGCACAGACGUGAGCAUUGAGACAGGUGUGAAGAUGGGACUGGAGGUGGUGUAUGGGAAGGAGAAAGAGAGAAGGUGUCACAUAAAGAGGUUGACA
rnacentral:lncRNA from 1 species